GAAAUCAAUUCAGAAUUUACAAGUGAUAUGGAUGUCGAAAUUUUCAUUUCGCUUCUUCGGCAACGAUCUGUGCUGCGGAACAAAUUCGGUGAUACAAGUUGCUGCACGAAGGUAAGCAAUGGUCACAGGCGCACGAGAUCAUCAUGGAGCAUAUUGCCGUGGACUGUGUUAUCAACGAUUCGCUACUGAACGAGUUCGAUGACGUCAAACAAAUUUCCAACUGGUUAAUCAAGGGGCAUGUUUUGAGUGAGCUUAUCGAGACUUUAUGAGGUGUUUAGUUUGUGACAAUUUGACCUGACUCGAGACGCGAUCGACUACGAGGUGGACGUGGCUCGGCUCGAGGAUCUCAAGCCCUAAAUGUCCGAUCUGUGAUCGGUGAUCGAGAUGUUUCCCUGUCCGACGCCGAAGCAUCGGUUCUGUCAGAGCGAAAUCACCCAAUAUAUCUGAGUCGGACAUUCUUUGCCCAAGAUCCGCGUAUAAAUAGCUGUGCGUAGAUUCACGCUCGAGUAGCUACUCCUGCCCCAGGAGUACGUGCUCGAUAAAUUGCGGUAUAUGCUGAGCGCGUUUCUGGGCGAGGACCUGCGUAAACAGCAAUGUCCCUCUUCUAAUAUUCUUAUUUGGUAUUCCAGACAGUUCGACCUGACCCGGAACACGAUCGACGAUGAGGUGGCCGCAACUCGGCUCGAAGAACUCCAACCCAAACUGUCCGAUCUGUGCUCGGUGAUCAAGAUGUCCCGGCGCUGAAGUAUCGGUUCUGUUAGAAUUAAAUCACCCAGCUGUUGGCAUAUAUAUGAUUUGGCCAUUCUUCGCCCACGAUCCGAUGUGCGUUGAUGCGAAAUGUGCUCCAGAAGCUGUCCCUGCCCCAGUUGAACGUGUUCCAGGAAUUGCGACACAUGUUCAGCGUGUUUCUGGACGAAGAUCUGCGGAAGCAACAAUGAGAUAGUGUUUGAAGGGAAAUUAUGUUUUUUCAAUUAAUUUAUUUGUAAGGCUCAA